CCCUUAGAUGUUCUGGGCCGCACGCGCGCUACACUGACGGAGUCAACGAGUUGUCCUGCAUCGGAAGGUGUGGGUAAUCUUUUGAAACUUCGUCGUGCUGGGGAUAGAUCUUUGCAAUUUUCGAUCUUGAACGAGGAAUUCCUAGUAAGCGUGAUUCAUCAGAUCGCGUUGAUUACGUCCCUGCCCUUUGUACACACCGCCCGUCGCUACUACCGAUUGAAUGGUUUAGUGAGGCCUCGGGACUGGCGCGCUCGAGUAGCAAUACACCUGCGCGCCGGGAACUUGGUCAAACUUGAUCAUUUAGAGAAAGUAAAAGUCGUAACA
rnacentral:rRNA from 1 species